GACGAACGCUGGCGGCGUGCCUAAUACAUGCAAGUAGAACGCUGAAGGAGGAGCUUGCUUCUCUGGAUGAGUUGCGAACGGGUGAGUAACGCGUAGGUAACCUGCCUGGUAGCGGGGGAUAACUAUUGGAAACGAUAGCUAAUACCGCAUAAUAGCAGUUAUUGCAUGAUAACUGUUUGAAAGGUGCAAUUGCACCACUACCAGAUGGACCUGCGUUGUAUUAGCUAGUUGGUGGGGUAACGGCUCACCAAGGCGACGAUACAUAGCCGACCUGAGAGGGUGAUCGGCCACACUGGGACUGAGACACGGCCCAGACUCCUACGGGAGGCAGCAGUAGGGAAUCUUCGGCAAUGGACGGAAGUCUGACCGAGCAACGCCGCGUGAGUGAAGAAGGUUUUCGGAUCGUAAAGCUCUGUUGUAAGAGAAGAACGAGUGUGAGAAGUGGAAAG
rnacentral:rRNA from 1 species